GACCAGUUCGUGUCCCUGGACGGUGCUGGCAAAACCCCGACUCUGGGUGGCGGCUUCCACGUGAAUCUGGGGAAGGAGUCGAGAGCGCAGACCCUGCAGAAUGGGAGGCGCCACAUCCACCACCUGGGGAACCAGCUGCAGCUGAACCAGCACUGCCUGGACACCGCCUUCAACUUCUUCAAGAUGGCCGUGAGCAGGCACCUGACCCGCGGCCGGAAGAUGGCCCACGUGAUUGCUGCCUGCCUCUAUCUGGUCUGCCGCACGGAGGG
rnacentral:lncRNA from 1 species